GACAGAGGCAAUUAGUGCAAAAGAAGCGUCCUGUUUCGGUAUCACUGACAAAAUUGUAUGAAAGAAUUGGAGUAAGUCCUGCCAGAUUGAGUGGCCAUGCACGCAGAAAAGCAACAUCUACUACAGUUGUGGUAAGAAGGAACCUGUUAACAGAAUUGGCCAAAGUGAAGUUGGGCGUUAAAAAAGACAAAUCAAAUUAUGCUGCCAAGAACAGAAGCAAAACCAAAAUUGCUAGUAAACCACGAUCGCCUGCAAAUACCAGAAGCAAAAGAAAACCUGCUAGUCAACCACAAUCUGCCAAGAUAUUGUCUACCAAUGGUGCCAAAAGAAAAAAGAACUGUGCUAAUAAACCGCAAGGCAAAUCUGCUGUACAAGUUGCAAUUGUAGGAGAAGACAAGGAGCAAUGCCCUAAGUAUGUAUGCGUAUACAAGAGAGUGCCUCGUGCUUCAACCAUGAUUGCUUGUCACACAUGUGACCAAUGGUUCCACAUCAAGUGCGUAUCGUUAUCACAAAAAGAAGCUGGGAAGAUAGCACAGUGGCAUUGCAGCAAAUGCAUGUAGCUAACACUUAAUUUUGCCUGCAUGAACUCAAUCUAUAAUA